rnacentral:lncRNA from 1 species
GUACAAAAAUGUGUAAAGAAAUAAGUACAGAAAUGUGUACAGAAAUGUGUACAGAAAUAAGUACAAAAAUGUGUAAAGAAAUAAGUACAGAAAUGUGUACAGAAAUGUAUACAGAUGGUGACAAAGAAAGGUGUGACAAUGUUGUUGAAGAAAAGUGUGAUGAUGUAGAUAAAGACAUAAAAAAAAACUUUUCGAUUUUAAAAAAAAGGAAACAUAUGAUUGACCCAAAUAGCAACGAAGAAGAUGUGAACAAAGACAAAACUAAUUAUAAACUAGAUGUAAACGAUAAUAAAAGAAUACACAUAAAUUCAAGUUUGGAUUUUAUACCAGAUACAUAUUUAAAUAAUAAUAAAAUGAAUAGUGUUUGUUAUUUAAUAGAAUGUCCUCAAACAUUAGGAAAGUUUCAUGUGGAAAAAGCAAAAAAUUUAAAUAUACCCCCAGGUAAAUAUUAUGGUAUAUUAAAAUCCGGUAAAUGUAUAACUAUAAAUAAUAAACUGAUUAAACCAGAAGAUGUGUGUGAUAAUAAUAUAGAUGGAAAAAAAUCAUUAGUCAUAGAUAUAUUAAAUAUUAAUGAAAUACAUAACUUAAUUAAAGAAAUUCAAAAAAACGAAUAUUAUAAUUUAAAAAAUUUAGAAUAUAUUUUUCAUCUGUCUGAUGAAGAAAUUUUAAAUAAUCAAACAUAUCAAGAUUUUUUUAAAAAAUUUGAAAAUGUAAAAAAUGUGAAAAAUAUAAAAUGUAACCAAUCUAAUAAAUCAUUAAGUGUAUGUCCAUUUAUUUCUUCUUCUUCUUUAAACAAUUUUCUAUCCAAUCUGUUACCAGGCAUUUUUUUAGAAUACAAAGCAGAUACUCCUAUAUAUAACAAUAAUCCUCUAUUUGUAAGUAAUCAUAUUUGUAUUAAUAAAAAAGAGUUAAAACAAAUUCAACCAAAUGGUUACAUAAUGGAUAAUAAAAAAAACAUGAUAACAAUAGAUCAUGACGAUGUUAACUAUAAGGGUGUUGACCCUAACAAAAACGAUCAUAACCAUAAUGACAAUAGUAAUAAUAAUUCUGACAAUAAUAAAAGUCUAAAAUCGAUCGUCUCUAAUGGAAUUAUUACAAACUCAUUUAUUCAAGAAAAUCAACAAAUAGUAACAAAUAAUGAAAAAAAAUUAGAACACGAUGAAAAAUAUUUAAAAAUAUAUAACCCUUUAACCAAAUUUAUUCUACACCCUUUUCAUAAAAUAAAUAUAUGCGAAGAAGAUAUAUUAUCUGAUUUACACCCAAAUGUCUUU